AUCACGUUGCAUUGGUAAGAUAUUAUGCCCGCUUUCCAAAAAAACUGGGAACGAGGUCAACUCAUGACUUAAGUGACCGUUCAAAUAGUUUUUUCCCAGGUUUUUUUAGUUCCCAGUUGUUUUGAACCCACAGAAGUCAGAAGUAGAAGAUUUCCGAGUUCCCAGUUUCCAGUAGUUUUUAACGCGGCAUUUUAAAAAACAAGUUUAGACAUGGCAUAAAAAACACGAGCUCGAGGAUCGAGCAGGGCUAGAGGCGAGACUUUCAAUUUGAGUUUUCAGCAGCGGUUAAGUAAGUGCAAGCUAGCAUCUUUAGCUAACUAGCUGUCAAGCCGCUAGAUAACCUAAACUGACAUUGUUGUUAGCUAGAUGUUAUUUGCAUAGGUUGUCCAGUAUUCUUCAGAACCUUCAGUCUAUAUGCAGAACCCUUAGCUGGCUAGUAGUAGUCUGUUUGACAUCCUAUACUUAACUCUUAUAACACAGGUGAAUAUUUCAACCCUGUAAGAGGAUAAUCAUUUAUGCUAUUGCCUUCAUAUAGCAAACUCCUGUCCUCCACAGUCAAGAUGCCAGUCAUUUGUAGCAGCUGUGCUGAGAAGAGUGCAGUGCUGAAACGUCCAAAGCCGGCCCAUUCCUUGUGCAAAGAGUCCCUCUUCUGGGCCUUUGAGGAGGAGGUGCAUCAGACAAUAUCAGCGCAGCUCUUCAAAGAUGGAGAGACUGUGGGCAUUGGUGCCUCUGGCUGGAAGGAUUCCACUGUGCUGGCCACCUCAGUAAACAAUGGACCUGAUCGGACAGCUCAGAGCUUCAGCUCUUUUCUGUCCAUAAAAAACAAAUGGAUUGGUGGAAGAGGCACACCUCAUGAAGGUCCUAAAUGAGCGCUAUAACUAUGGCCUGAAACGAAUGCUGCUCUCAGUGGACGAGGGCAUGACAGGUAACCGUGAUGACUCCUUGGAGACUGAAGAGAACCAGCAGUAGUAUGAACUACCUCUGAAGAGUGUGUCCUAUGAGGAGCUGUAUGGCUGGACCAUGGAUGCCAUAGUGAAGCAGAUCGGACUGAAGAACAAUUGCUCUUUCUGUGGAGUGUUCCCGAAGACAGGCUCUGGACAGGGGAGCCAUGAUGCUGAAGGUUGAUAAGAUAUGUGCAGCCAGGCGCUGUGUAAGUCCUGUGUUCUGCUGGAGGGCCUGAACCGUGACCUGCCUAGACUAGGAAUCGGCAAGCACCACCGCCUCCACAGGAAGAUCCUCUCACAGCAGCCUCUGACCCAGGCACAGGAGAGGAAACUCAAGGCUGUGGACUUCUGAGAGGCGUAUAGGCAGAACGUCUCAGGAUCACCUCCACUGUCUGUGAAGUUACACCUUGAAAUGAGUAACCGAAGAUGCCUCAACCAGAUGUGGAGUUGUUUUUAAGUUUUAGCUUGGAAUUGCCAGUCAGUUGCCUCUAACAAAAGAGUAGCCAGCAUUUCCCCUUUUCAGCCACUGAACAAUAGGGAAGUGGUAAUGAUUAAAAAGGUCCUCCUUGCAGUUGCUGGAAUCUAAAUUCAAUUCACAUUUGGCUGUAUGGUCAGUUAAUUAUGAAACCUCUGACAGCUGAUGAUUGAAAUACAAGUAUUUUGUGCGGUAUCUAUAAUAAAGCUAUUCUACAUUUGCAUGGCCUCUUCUGAUUUUAGUAUGAACAAUUCCUCAAGAGAAUUCUUACACAUACUUACACAUUAGAAUUACUGAUAGGUGAGAAUUGUCUGUUAAUUGAAUGAUUAGAAUAUUCCGCCCUGAAACAUAUAAUUGUAUGGAAUUGAUUAGAAUGUAUAAAAUCAUAAUCAAGAAAUGUGUUGUCCUAGUCAGAAUUAGGGUAAAACAAUGUCUUUAUGGUAUUUUAAACACAGACUGUCUGAGCUUGGUGCCGACCUGACUAGAGAUUUGGGAGAGAACGGGUAGGACAAGGACAAGGUCGCUAUCUCUGUUGGCUGGGUAGUGAGACAGACAGUGUGUGCGUCUUUGUGUGUGCGUAUGGCUGUGUGAAUGUGUGGGAUUGAGAAGUCAGUAUAAAAUGAAUUGUUUUGUAUUCUUGAACGUUCCCGUGAAUAAACAUUUUUUACUAUUUA